GUAUGCAACCUACCUUCAUCUGGGGGAUAGCCCGGAGAAAUCCGGAUUAAUACCGCAUAAAAUCACAGGAUGGCAUUAUCCAAUGAUCAAACAUUUAUGGGAUGGAGAUGGGCAUGCGUGUCAUUAGCUAGUUGGCGGGGUAACGGCCCACCAAGGCGACGAUGACUAGGGGAUCUGAGAGGAUGGCCCCCCACACUGGUACUGAGACACGGACCAGACUCCUACGGGAGGCAGCAGUAAGGAAUAUUGGUCAAUGGAGGCAACUCUGAACCAGCCAUGCCGCGUGCAGGAAGACUGCCCUAUGGGUUGUAAACUGCUUUUAUUCGGGAAUAAACCUUAUUACGUGUAAUAAGCUGAAUGUACCGAAGGAAUAAGGAUCGGCUAACUCCGUGCCAGCAGCCGCGGUAAUACGGAGGAUCCAAGCGUUAUCC
rnacentral:rRNA from 1 species